rnacentral:tRNA from 1 species
AGCUCUCGGUACGGACCGGCGGGGCGGGCCGGUCCGCGGCCGGCCGGGUGCGGCGGAGCGGCGGCAGCGGCAGUUCGAGCCCGCCGGCGGCCUC